rnacentral:rRNA from 1 species
UACGGGGGGGGCAAGCGUUGUUCGGAAUUACUGGGCGUAAAGGGCUCGUAGGCGGCCAACUAAGUCAGACGUGAAAUCCCCAGGCUCAACCUGGGAACUGCGUCUGAUACUGGAUGGCUUGAAUCCGGGAGAGAGAUGCAGAAUUCCAGGUGUAGCGGUGAAAUGCGUAGAUAUCUGGAGGAAUACCGGUGGCGAAGGCGGCAUCCUGGACCGGCAUUGACGCUGAGGAGCGAAAGCCAGGGGAGCAAACGGG